UCCUUUGAUCGCAGCCAUAAUCAUUGACAACAGGACUGGUCCCACAGGAGAAGCCGACUACAUGCCAGCCUUUUAUCUGGGCGAUGCUAUGUUGGCGAUCAGCGUCAUUCUGAUCGCCAGGUUGGAUCUGGAGGUCGAGCUGCCGCAGGACAGCCUAACUAAAGGCUUGAAGCAGAUCAUCACCCGUCCAGAAAUUGAUAAUUUUCCUGUUGCUUAUUCUCAUCUUGGGGUCCAACUUCGGAUUCAUUGAGAGUUACCUCUUCGUCUUCCUGAAAGAGCUGAAUGCUCCUGAUUAUCUUUUGGGCUUGACUAUGACUGUUGGAUGCCUGACCAGCGUUCCCAUGCUCUUCUGGGCUGACCCGAUCGUCUCUUGGAUGGUAGACACAACGUCUUCCUCAUCUCUUUUAUUGCCUAUGCCGUUGAGGAUGUUUGGCUAC